rnacentral:rRNA from 1 species
GACGAACGCUGGCGGCGUGCUUAACACAUGCAAGUCGAACGAAGUGGCGAACGGGUGAGUAACGCGUAAUCAACCUGCCCUUCAGAGGGGGACAACAGUUGGAAACGACUGCUAAUACCGCAUACUGAAGGAGGGGAUUGCGGCUGAUGAGCUAGUUGGAGGGGUAACGGCCCACCAAGGCGAUGAUCAGUAGCCGUGCUGUGAGUAUGACCUGCCACAUUGGGACUGAGACACGGCCCAGACUCCUACGGGAGGCAGCAGUGGGGAAUCUUCCGCAAUGGACGAAAGUCUGACGAAGCAACGCCGCGUGAGUGAUGACGGCCUUCGGGUUGUAAAGCUCUUUUAAUCGGGACGCGGUACCGGAAUAGAAAGCCACGGCUAACUACGUGCCAGCAGCCGCGGUAAUUC